CAACUACUCCCUCUGUCCCAAAUUUCUUGUCUUAGAUUUGUCUAGAUAUGGAUGUAUCUAAUACUAAAAUGUGACUUGAUACAUCCGUAUCUAGACAAAUCUAAGACAAGAAUUUUGGGACG
rnacentral:pre_miRNA from 1 species